AGUCACAAUAUGUUAGGUAUUGCAAUGAUGAAAUAGCGCCUAUGGCAGGCAGAACGACAGCCCCUAAAGAUGUCCAUACUCUAAUCUUGGAACCUGUGAAUAUGUUACUUUAUAUGACAAAAGGGAAUUUACAGAGGGAGAAGAACUUUUCCUAGCUGUGGCCAGAGAGAGAUGUGACACCAGGGAAAGCGUCAGAGAGUGGCUGAAGGCAGAGGGAGGGGCCACGAGUCAAGGAACAUAAGUGACUUUGGGAAGAUGGAAAACGCAGGAAACAGAUUCUCCCCUAAAGGCCCCAGAAAAAGAGCACAGUCCUGACUACUCCUUGAUUUUAACCCAGUGAGACCCGUGUCAGACUUCUCCCUAUAAAACUGUAAGAUGAUAAUAAAUGUGUUGUUUUAAGCCACAAA